GGUUCACCUGUGAUCAAAAGAUGUACUUCAGAGAACCGCUUCCUUUUGUCUCACAACUUAACUUUAGGACAUAUUCGAUGGACAACAAGGCAGAGGUCCUGGUGGCCCUUUGAGUCCCGGGAGACCCCUCGUUCCAGAGUGCCCGGGGAAGCCAUUGUCUCCUGGAACCCCAGGAGGCCCUGGAGGUCCAGGUUUUCCAGACUUACUGCAGGCCCCUGGGACCCUCUGACUCCAGGUGGACCUCUGUUUCCCUGCAUGCCCCGGGGUCCAGGUGAGCCAGAAGGCCCCUCGAUGCCAGGCUGCCCUCGACUACCCUCAGGACCUCGUUUUCCAGUCUCGCCCAGAUUCUCCCGAUUCACCCUACCAUCAGCACAACAACAGGGAUUGAAAAACAAUACUGUUGGUUUCCCUCAUCACCUUGUGCUCCCUAUGAAAACAUCAAUUGUAAAUGAUGCAGACAAUGAAGCGUUACUAUUAAGAAAAAAAAUUCUCUGCAUCAGCAUUUCAUACCUGGUCUCCUUUGGGUCCUGCUUCUCCACGUUCUCCCUUUAAUUAAAAAAGAUGACCGGGAGGACCAGGGAGACCAGGAAGUCCAGGUGCACCUUUGGGUCCCUAUUAUAAAUAACAGGAGGAGAAGGGAGGAUAAACAUCAAAGCAGUUAUAAGAAAUGGGUUGGUAUCCACACAGAGCAGCCUUUAAAAAAAAACAAACACUCAAUUUAAGUGAUUAAAGGAAACAUAACAUAUUUACGUGUUGCAAAAACA